GGCAAGAUGGCCGAGCGGUCUAAGGCGCUAGCUUAAGGUGGCCAACCAGAUGAUCAUCUGGUUGUUCUACGCUAGUCCGAAAGGGCGUGGGUUCGAAUCCCACUCUUGUCA
rfam:Talaromyces marneffei PM1 scf025, whole genome shotgun sequence.